rnacentral:tRNA from 1 species
GCCGGCAUAGCUCAGCUGGCAGAGCAUCUGAUUUGUAAUCAGAGGGUCGCGGGUUCAAUUCCUGCUGUCGGCA